rnacentral:lncRNA from 1 species
UGGGGGUACUAGGUGUAGGAAUACUUGGAGGACUUCCACCAUAGUAACCACCCCCUGGAGUGCUUGGAGUCCCGGGGUCAACGGUAGGAGGCGUAGGUGGGGUAACAAUAGUAGGUGUGGAGGGGCUGGAUGGUGUCCUUGGGGUACUAGGUGUAGGUGUAGGUGUACUGGGGGUACUAGGGGUAGGUGUAGGGGUUCUUGGAGGGCUUCCACCGUGAGAUGGAGGGGAGGGAUAGUAACCACCACCUCCAUGGCCUCCUGAUGGAGGCGAUGGAGUAGGGUU